GACGAAGGAUGCAAGCGUUUAUCCGGAUUCAUUGGGUUUAAAGGGUGCGUAGGCGGACUGAUAAGUCAGUGGUGAAAUCUCUUUGCUUAACAAAGAAACUGCCAUUGAUACUGUCGGUCUAGAGUAUAGAUGACGUUGGCGGAAUAUGACAUGUAGUGGUGAAAUACUUAGAUAUGUCAUAGAACACCGAUUGCGAAGGCAGCUAACGAAACUAUAACUGACGCUGAGCACGAAAGUGCGGGGAUCAAACAGG
rnacentral:rRNA from 1 species